AUUGAACGCUGGCGGCAGGCCUAACACAUGCAAGUCGAGCGAGCGGCGGACGGGUGAGUAAUGUCUGGGAAACUGCCUGAUGGAGGGGGAUAACUACUGGAAACGGUAGCUAAUACCGCAUACCAUCGGAUGUGCCCAGAUGGGAUUAGCUAGUAGGGGGGGUAACGGCUCACCUAGGCGACGAUCCCUAGCUGGUCUGAGAGGAUGACCAGCCACACUGGAACUGGGACACGGUCCAGACUCCUACGGGAGGCAGCAGUGGGGAAUAUUGCACAAUGGGCGCAAGCCUGAUGCAGCCCUUCCGCGUGUAUGAAGAAGGCCUUCGGGUUUGAAAGGACGUUCAGCGGGGAGGCGUUACCCGACAAAGAAGCACCGGCUAACUCCGGGCCAGCAGCCGCGGUAAUAC
rnacentral:rRNA from 1 species